GCCCCCUUUCGUGAUUUUAUUGGCGGAUUGCAAAGGAACUGAAGAAGUUGAUACUGCCAUCUACUGUAAUGGAGUGUGUACGGUAACGCGGCAACAACAAUGCGGAAGAGGGUCACAGAGAACCUGUAGCCUAUCCCAGGGAGCAACAGGCACAAGGCGGGGUACACCCAGGACAGGGUACCAGUCCAUUGUAGGGCACAAUCACAUACACAUUCACACACCCAUUCAUACACUACGGACACUUUGGACAUGCCAAUCAGCCUACCAUGCAUGUCUUUGGACUGGGGGAGGAAACCAGAAUACCCGGAGGAAACCCCCGCAGCACGGGGAGAACAUGCAAACCCUGCACACACACGGCCACAGUGGGAAUCAAACCCCCGACCCUGGAGGUGUGAGACUGAAGUUCCUCGUGGAUCUAUGGUGGAGUGGUGUGUAAGUCUGCUGACAUUAUCUGGCUUUUACUACUCAAGACGUGCUCAGUAAUUUUGAAGUGUUUUUUAUUGUACACACAAUAACAUGCUCCUGGAUGGUCUGGAGGAUGUAUCUGAU